GGUGAGAUGGGUGAGAGGCUUAAACCACCAGUUUGCUAAACUGGCGUACGGGCAACCGUACCGCGGGUUCGAAUCCCGCUCUCACCGC
rnacentral:tRNA from 1 species